ACCUGGCUAGCAUAGUCUGUGGAGCACAUGAUUCUUAAUCUUGGGAUCAUGGGUUCAAGCCCCAUGUUGGGAU
rnacentral:tRNA from 1 species